GAUGAACGCUGGCGGCGUGCCUAAUACAUGCAAGUCGAGCGAACAGAUGAGGAGCUUGCUCCUCUGACGUUAGCGGCGGACGGGUGAGUAACACGUGGAGAACCUACCUAUAAGACUGGGAUAACUUCGGGAAACCGGAGCUAAUACCGGAUAAUAUAUUGAACCGCAUGGUUCAAUAGUGAAAGACGGUUUUGCUGUCACUUAUAGAUGGAUCCGCGCCGCAUUAGCUAGUUGGUAAGGUAACGGCUUACCAAGGCAACGAUGCGUAGCCGACCUGAGAGGGUGAUCGGCCACACUGGAACUGAGACACGGUCCAGACUCCUACGGGAGGCAGCAGUAGGGCAUCUUCCGCAAUAGGCGACAGACUGACGGAGCAACGCCGCAUGAGUAAUAAGUGUCUUCGGAUCGUAAAACUCUGUUAUUAGGGAAGAAGAAAUGUGUAAGGAACUAUGCACGUCUUGCAGGUACCUAAUCAGAAAGACACGGCUAAAUACGAG
rnacentral:rRNA from 1 species